rnacentral:rRNA from 1 species
CCUACGGGUGGCAGCAGUGGGGAAUAUUGGACAAUGGGGGCAACCCUGAUCCAGCCAUGCCGCGUGUGUGAAGAAGGCCCUCGGGUUGUAAAGCACUUUCAGUGAGGAAGAACGCCUGGUGGUUAAUACCCAUCAGGAAAGACAUCACUCACAGAAGAAGCACCGGCUAACUCCGUGCCAGCAGCCGCGGUAAUACGGAGGGUGCGAGCGUUAAUCGGAAUUACUGGGCGUAAAGCGCGCGUAGGUGGCUUGAUAAGCCGGUUGUGAAAGCCCCGGGCUCAACCUGGGAACGGCAUCCGGAACUGUCAAGCUAGAGUGCAGGAGAGGAAGGUAGAAUUCCCGGUGUAGCGGUGAAAUGCGUAGAGAUCGGGAGGAAUACCAGUGGCGAAGGCGGCCUUCUGGACUGACACUGACACUGAGGUGCGAAAGCGUGGGUAGCAAACAGGAUUAGAUACCCCUGUAUC